rnacentral:lncRNA from 1 species
CUUCAUUAGUACACUCUACUAGAGUACUUCUUUUAUCAUUAUUAUUUAUCUUUCUUGGACAUGUUUUAGCUAAAUGAUCUGAUUCUCCACAAACAUAACAAUUUAAUUUAUUAGGAUAAUUUCUUUCUGGUUUAAAUUUUCUAACAUGUCUAUUUUCAUCUAAAUAAGGUUUUCUUCUAUUAGAUUUUCUAAGAUAAUAUCUUUUCUUAUAAGAUUGGUAAUUUUUCUUAUUAUCAUAUUUUCUCUUAUUCUUUUCUUUAAACUUAUUUCCAUAAGUCUGAGGUGUAUAAAUAUCUUUACAAAAUUUGUAAUCUGUCUUUUUAAGUUGGUUUUGUAUUUGUAAUUCAAUACAUUUUUCUUCUAAACAUUGCAUUAUAAAUUGUGUCCUAAUUCCUAUACUCCAUAAUGCAUCUGGUCUUUCUUUAACAUUUUUAUUUUCAUUCCAUUUCUUUGUUAUUUCUAAUCCUAAAGGUCCUGGUAAUUUAUGAAAUAAUUUUUUACCUAAUUCUUGAUUAAAAGUAUUUCCUGAAAUAGAGACUAAAUAAUAAUAUUCAUUUAAAAAUUGUUUAACUUCUUUACCAUUAGUCCAUCUAUUUAAACUAAGUUGUUCUAAAUUUCUUAUAGCUUUAUUUUGAAUUAUUAAGUGUCCUGUAUUAGGGUCUGCUCCUGUUAGUAAUUCAUGUAUUUUACUAAAGAAAUUAUAAGGAUUAUUUCCUAAUAAUACUAAUGCUUCAAAUUCUGGUUGUUUAUCUCUUUUAUAAGCUUCCCAUGUAGCUUUAGUACUUUCUCCUAAGAAAGUUUCUAAAUAUCUAUACAUUUCUAAUGGUUCCAUAUUUUCUGCUAAUCUAAUAUAAUGACCUAUUACCGUAUUCUUCCAAACUUCUAUUGUAUUAUUCCACAUCUGGGGAUCAUGUGCUGUAAUAUUUAAUAAUUGUGGUUUGUGAGGUGUCUGAAAUUCUAUUUUAGGUUCUAAGGGUCUAACUUUUCCUCUAGCUAUAUAAUUUCUUUCUUUAUCACUAUAAUUUGUAACAGGUAUUCUAGGAGGAUGUCCACUAUGAUAUUGAUAUGGUUCUGAUUCUGUUUUAGGUUGCAUAACUUCAUCUGCUAAUUCUUUAUAAUUACUAAUUUCUGAUGUUUCUGUUAUGUUAUCAUUUUCUUCUAUAUUAAUUCCUACUCUUAUAUUUUUAAAAUUAUCAUAAUAUAAGUAUUCUAUUUCACUUAUUUGUUUAUUUAAAAACAAAUGAUCUUCUAAUUUUAAAAGUUCUGUAGGAGAUAAGUUCAUUUCUAAUUCUUUAGGAUAUAUU